CUGUUUGUGGAGCACACGGAACUUAUUAUACACUGGCCGACGUGGGACCUGGCGCAGCUCCGGUGUGGCCCGGCAGUACCUACCCACCUGCGGCGGCCUCGGAGGCCCAGAUGGUGUGUCAGUGUGCCACUUUACAGAAGAGAGAGGAAGAGAAUCUUCCUGGGAUGAGGUACAGUCUCUUGUUGUUAAUGUACUUGUAUGACUAUAUAAGUACCAGGGGAUUCUGAGACAUAAACCGGGGGUUGGUGUGAGUGUGCAUUUUCACGUUUGCAUCUGCUGAUGAGAAUUUUUGACUUAUGCUUUUAACUUACAGUUUAGGAUGUGAUUCUGUGCUUAAUGCCGUAGGACUGGAUAAUGCACUUGUGUUCAUUUUCCAGACUCACUUAGUGAAACCAGUGUCUGUGUGGGCAUUCUUUUUUUCAGGGUCUUUCCCUUACAGUUUAUUAGAGGAUAUUGAAAAGAAAAUCAUCCCUGGGAAAGUUAGGUGUAUCUUGGGGUUGGUUUUUGAUUUAGCUGUCCUCAAUUGAAAUUAAUUAAGUGAUGUUUCAUUUUCAAGGCAGCAUGUUUUGUCUUCCCAUUCCACCACAAGUAACAGUGGUCUAGUUCCCUUAAUGCCUUACGCUGUUUCCCACCUGCUCCUUUUACUCAGGCUGCCCUUCCCCAAAGCCCCUCCA